AGAGUUUGAUCCUGGCUCAGGAUGAACGCUAGCGGCAGGCUUAACACAUGCAAGUCGAGGGGCAGCAUAAUGGAUAGCAAUAUCUAUGGUGGCGACCGGCGCACGGGUGCGUAACGCGUAUGCAACCUACCUUUAACAGGGGGAUAACACUGAGAAAUUGGUACUAAUACCCCAUAACAUCAUGAAAGGCAUCUUUUAUGGUUGAAAAUUCCGAUGGUUAGAGAUGGGCAUGCGUUGUAUUAGCUAGUUGGUGAGGUAACGGCUCACCAAGGCGACGAUACAUAGGGGGACUGAGAGGUUAACCCCCCACACUGGUACUGAGACACGGACCAGACUCCUACGGGAGGCAGCAGUGAGGAAUAUUGGUCAAUGGACGCAAGUCUGAACCAGCCAUGCCGCGUGCAGGAAGACGGCUCUAUGAGUUGUAAACUGCUUUUGUACGAGGGUAAACUCACCUACGUGUAGGUGACUGAAAGUAUCGUACGAAUAAGGAUCGGCUAACUCCGUGCCAGCAGCCGCGGUAAUACGGAGGAUUCAAGCGUUAUCCGGAUUUAUUGGGUUUAAAGGGUGCGUAGGCGGUUUGAUAAGUUAGAGGUGAAAUGUUAGGGCUCAACCCUGAAACUGCCUCUAAUACUGUUGAGCUAGAGAGUAGUUGCGGUAGGCGGAAUGUAUGGUGUAGCGGUGAAAUGCUUAGAGAUCAUACAGAACACCGAUUGCGAAGGCAGCUUACCAAACUAUAUCUGACGUUGAGGCACGAAAGCGUGGGGAGCAAACAGGAUUAGAUACCCUGGUAGUCCACGCAGUAAACGAUGAUAACUCGUUGUCGGCGAUACACAGUCGGUGACUAAGCGAAAGCGAUAAGUUAUCCACCUGGGGAGUACGUUCGCAAGAAUGAAACUCAAAGGAAUUGACGGGGGCCCGCACAAGCGGAGGAACAUGUGGUUUAAUUCGAUGAUACGCGAGGAACCUUACCCGGGCUUAAAUUGCAAAUGAAUGUUCUGGAAACAGAUCAGCCGCAAGGCAUUUGUGAAGGUGCUGCAUGGUUGUCGUCAGCUCGUGCCGUGAGGUGUCGGCUUAAGUGCCAUAACGAGCGCAACCCUUAUCGAUAGUUACCAUCAGGUUAUGCUGGGGACUCUGUCGAGACUGCCGUCGUAAGAUGUGAGGAAGGUGGGGAUGACGUCAAAUCAGCACGGCCCUUACGUCCGGGGCUACACACGUGUUACAAUGGGGGGUACAGAAGGCAGCUACACGGUGACGUGAUGCUAAUCCCUAAAACCUCUCUCAGUUCGGAUUGGAGUCUGCAACCCGACUCCAUGAAGCUGGAUUCGCUAGUAAUCGCGCAUCAGCCACGGCGCGGUGAAUACGUUCCCGGGCCUUGUACACACCGCCCGUCAAGCCAUGGGAG
rnacentral:rRNA from 1 species